AGUAAUUGCCCACUGGGAACUAUUUCUAAUAGUUCUCACGCCCCUGUUUUAUGGUUUACUUUUCAGAGCCUUCGGCACCGGCGGAGGCACGGGAUCGCGGCAAGGGGAUCGCUUAGCUAGCUAGCGAGGAGCGAUACUUUGCCUAGGUGGUUACUCUUUCUUUUGUUUUUGAGAGAGUGUGAGAUUUUUGUAUCCGUGUAUAGAGACCACCUAUGUACCUACCUAUAGCACUUGUAUUUGGGAUUCCCUAUUGUAUUUACUUUAUGUCUUAUUUAGCGAAUUUACAGUUUCAUCCUUAUUUCUUGUUGUAGCAUUUAGACAUUUAUUACGCUCUGAUACACCUAGAUGUCUAUUAUUAUGGCUUUAUUAUUGUUGUUCUUAGACGCCUUAUAUGUUGUAGACAUAUGGCGGGUCUGGGCACGCGCCGGGCGGGCUUCCGCUGGGCCCCGGGGCGUGACACGUGAUGUAAAAGAGAAGAAAUGAUGAAAAAAUGUAGAUAAUUUUCUAAGUAUAGUUUAUUACUUUCACUAUUGGCUAUUACUUGCUCUCGUGCAAGCCAUUGUGUAUGCUUCCGUUUUGUGCAAAAUUUAUACUCUAUUU
rnacentral:lncRNA from 1 species